rnacentral:rRNA from 1 species
GGUUAAGCGAAUAAGCGUACACGGUGGAUGCCUAGGCAAUCAGAGGCGAUGAAGGACGUGCUAAUCUGCGAAAAGCGUCGGUAAGGUGAUAUGAACCGUUAUACCCGACGAUAUCCGAAUGGGGAAACCCAGUAUCCAAUGGAUACUAUCAUUAACUGAAUCCAUAGGUUAAUGAGGCGAACCGGGAGAACUGAAACAUCUCAGUACCCCGAGGAAAAGAAAUCAACCGAGAUUCCCCUAGUAGCGGCGAGCGAACGGGGAGCAGCCCAGAGUCUUAAUCAAUAACAGUGUCAGGAGAACGGUCUGGAAAGUCCGGCAGUAAAGGGUGAUAGCCCCGUAUCUGAAGAUGCUGUUAUUGUGAACUCGACGAGUAGGGCGGGACACGUGUUAUCCUGUCUGAAUAUGGGGGGACCAUCCUCCAAGGCUAAAUACUCCUGAUUGACCGAUAGUGAACCAGUACCGUGAGGGAAAGGCGAAAAGAACCCCGGCGAGGGGAGUGAAAAAGAACCUGAAACCGUGUACGUACAAGCAGUAGGAGCCUCUUUAUGGGGUGACUGCGUACCUUUUGUAUAAUGGGUCAGCGACUUAUAUUCUGUAGCAAGGUUAACCGUAUAGGGGAGCCGUAGGGAAACCGAGUCUUAACUGGGCGAAUGAGUUGCAGGGUAUAGACCCGAAACCCGGUGAUCUAUCCAUGGGCAGGUUGAAGGUUGGGUAACACUAACUGGAGGACCGAACCGA